AGCUCCAAUAGCGUAUAUUAAAGUUGUUGCGGUAAAAAAGCUCGUAGUUGGAUUUCUGUUGCGAAUGGCCGGUCUUCACUACGUGAAUGUAUCUGGUUCAAUCGUGGCAUCCUCAUAGGAAACGUUGCUGCGCUUCACUGCGUGGUGCGGUGCCUAUGACUUUUACUUUGAGGAAAUUAGAGUGUUCACGGCAGGCAAUCGCCCUGAAUAUGUUAGCAUGGAAUAAUAAUAUAGGAUCUUGGUUCUAUUUUGUUGGUUUCUAGAGCUAAGAUAAUGGUUAAUAGGAACAAUUGGGGGCAUUUGUAUUAACAUGUCAGAGGUGGAAUUCUUGGAUUAUGUUACGACAAACUACUGCGAAAGCAUUUGCCAAGGAUGUUUUCA
rnacentral:rRNA from 1 species